rfam:Oryza meridionalis cultivar OR44 (W2112) chromosome 7, whole genome shotgun sequence.
AUACCUUUCUCGGCCUUUUGGCUAAGAUCAAGUGUAGUAUCUGUUCUUAUCAGUUUAAUAUCUGAUAUGUGGGCCAUGUGCCCACUUCGAUAUUAAAUUUAUUUUUUGUGGGGGAGGUCGUAUAACUUCGUAUNNNNNNNNNAUCUGAUAUGUGGGCCAUGUGCCCACUUCGAUAUUAAAUUUAUUUUUUGUGGGGGAGGGUCCACCACAGUGGCUUGCCACUGGGGCCCUCGCGUGUCGCCCAGGCGUUGCACUACUGCCCGGGCCUGGCGCACCCCAA